rnacentral:rRNA from 1 species
GGACCCGCACAAGUAGUGGAGCAUGUGGUUUAAUUCGAAGAUACGCGCAGAACCUUACCAACACUUGACAUGUUCGUCGCGACUCUAAGAGAUUAGAGUUUUCGGUUCGGCCGGACGAAACACAGGUGCUGCAUGGCUGUCGUCAGCUCGUGUCGUGAGAUGUUGGGUUAAGUCCCGCAACGAGCGCAACCCUCACUUUUAGUUGCCAUCAUUUAGUUGGGCACUCUGAAAGAACUGCCAGUGAUAAGCUGGAGGAAGGUGGGGAUGACGUCAAGUCCUCAUGGCCCUUACGUGUUGGGCUACACACGUGCUACAAUGGUAUCUACAACAGGAAGCCAAAAACCGCGAGGUU